rnacentral:lncRNA from 1 species
UUCCAUCAUGCACAUCAAUCAUAGUUCUAGUAGUUGCUAUGAAAGGUCUACCAAGAAGUAUAAUUUGCUCUUUAUCCAUUGCUGGUGUAUUUUCCAUGUCAAGCACUACAAAAUCAACUGGAAUUAUUAACUUACCUACUUGUACUAGCAAGUCAUCCACUAUACCUCUAGGAUAUUUUAUCGAUCUAUCAGUAAAUUGUAGAGACAUAGUAGUAGGCUU